CUUACACAUUUUCUCUCUUUAAGUGACAAUGCAUUUCACCAAGGACUUUACUAGACUUCUGGAGAUCUUACUGUGAGUGAUAUAGAGGACUGCUGGCUGUUUACCAAGUAAUUUAGCACUGUAAAAACCAUUCUUAAAACUUUUUUUUUUUUACAAAAAUUAACAACCAGAAGUAAAGGUUUUCUGUACCCAUUAUUACAGAUGUGUUUACAACUCUGUAGUUUCUUGGUUUCUUAGCCAGUAGGUGAAAAUCGGUAUAAAUUUCUCCUGGCCUCCAUUCUGCAUAACUGGCAGCUGUGGGGGCUGAGGGUGUGACUUGGAGAAGCUGGCUGUAAUACAUGAGCAAGCUUGAGCCACAGCACAGCAACACAUGAAUGUGUGUAGAGAUAGGACUGUGAGGGCAGCAUGUGCUGUUCUGUUCAUACAUCGUGCCUUGUAAUUAAAUGAAUUGCCCACACAGCUUGACAUUUGUGUUGAGGCAUUCAAAGGAGUCACACUGUCUCUUCCAGCCAGUUGGUUGGUUUUGGUUGUUAGUUGUUUUGCUUUGUUUGGAUCUAGCUAGCUUCAUUAUCUACUCCCAGUUACAUUGUUGAUUCACUACAAUGGGAACUCAGCUAACCAGACAGUCCCCAGCGAGACAGACUCUUACACAUUCUCUAUUUUAUUUUCAACUUUACAGACAAAAACCAUUUAAAGAACUGAGUAGAUCUUCAUUGGCUGUUUAAUGACAGAAUCAGGAUUAUGGCCUGGUAUUCUGACUCUUGGCCUACUCUGUCAUGUUAAGACCAGUCUUUGAGGUAAAAUUUGUCGAUAGCCCACACAGCCUACCCAUCCACAUACAGUAAUAGGACUAAAGAUUAUAGGAAUUGGGAUGAACAUAAAUAGGGGGUGUGGUGAAAGAAGAAAUGAUCCUCAAUUUCUUAAAAACACUUUUACACUAACUUUUCAAAAUUAUGUAUUAAGAGUAUAUGAUUCACAUAUUUUUCCAGCCUUCCUAAUAAGUUUUAGAGAUAUUUAUUUUUUACUAGAUUUCAGGUAGGUACUCUGUGAAAUGUUGAGGCUCAUCUGUUUCUAGGAGGCUUCUGAGUGGUUGUUAAGUGGUCCAAGCAGUGGGGGUUCACAUUCCUGCUUACAGGGAUACUGCAACUGUGAAGUGUAUGGUACAUACUCUUUGUAUAAUAUAUUUAUAUCUAAUUGUGAGGUAGAGCUAUUGAUACGAAACUAUCUAAAUGUGGCAAGUGAUUUCUUUGAUUCAAUUAAAGUGUUUUUGCAUCAUUCCACUUCCUCUUUCCCCUCCCACCCUCCUACCUCUGGAACUCAUGGUCUCUUUUUCUUUCAUGAUUAUUGCCACAUAUGUAUACAAAUAAAUAUAUAAAUGCAGCCUGCUGGGGUUGGGGAUUUAGCUCAGUGGUAGAGCGCUUGCCUAAGCAAGCGCAAGGCCCUGGGUUCGGUCCCCAGCUCCGAAAAAAAGAAAAAAGAAGAAGAAAAAGAAAAAAUAAAUAAAUAAAUGC
rnacentral:lncRNA from 1 species